GACGAACGCUGGCGGCAUGCCUAAUACAUGCAAGUCGAGCGAACAGAUGAAGUGCUUGCACUUCUGACGUUAGCGGCGAACGGGUGAGUAACACGUAAGGAAUCUACCUAUAAGCGGGGGAUAACAUUCGGAAACGGGUGCUAAUACCGCAUAAUAUCUUCUUCCGCAUGGAAGAAGAUUGAAAGACGGCUCUGCUGUCACUUAUAGAUGACCUUGCGGUACAUUAGUUAGUUGGUGGGGUAACGGCCUACCAAGACGAUGAUGCAUAGCCGACCUGGGAGGGUGAUCGGCCACAUUGGGACUGAGACACGGCCCAAACUCCUACGGGAGGCAGCAGUAGGGAAUCUUCCGCAAUGGGCGAAAGCCUGACGGAGCAAUGCCGCGUGAGUGAAGAAGGCCUUCGGGUCGUAAAACUCUGUUAUAAGAGAAGAACAAAUUGUAGAGUAACUGCUACAGUCUUGACGGUAUCUUAUCAGAAAGCCACGGCUAACUACGUGCCAGCCGCCGCGGUAA
rnacentral:rRNA from 1 species